GCAGUGUGUCUCCAAGUUAAAGUAUUACUGUAUAUAAACAAUGGUCUGUCUUGUCACGUCAUUUAGAUGAAUUGGGCAUUUAUUUUAGGUUUCUUCUCUUGUGUUCAGUGUCUUACUUCAAAGCCUGGAGUCUGUGUUGCUUUAUAACCGGCUUGUACUGAACAGCUUACAUUCUUUCCUCUGAGCUUUUCAGGGGCCACCCUUGUAAGGUUCAGUGAGCUCUAGUUAAAAGUAGAAACAUGUUUGCUGUACUGCCAGUGUUUUACACCAAAAAUGAACCUAGGGAUUAAUAACAUAUGUGUACCGAGUCAAACGUUCUCUGGGAUCUGUUUUCAUGCUAAUCGAAUGUGUCUCUAGCUUGAAACAAGCUACCGCAAACGGGUGGUU